UACGAGGGGUCCUAGCGUUGUUCGGAAUCAUUGGGCGUAAAGCGUCUGUAGGCGGCUUUGUAAGUCAGGUGUGAAAGCCCCGGGCUCAACCCGGGGAAGUGCAUUUGAUACUGCAUAGCUUGAAUGUUGGAGAGGAUAGUAGAAUUCCAGGUGUAGUGGUGAAAUACGUAGAUAUCUGGAGGAAUACCGGUGGCGAAGGCGGCUAUCUGGCCAAACAUUUGACGCUGAGAGACGAAAGCAUGGGAAUCAAACAGG
rnacentral:rRNA from 1 species